AUCAAGUAAACCAUCAAUAUGCGAGUACCAAACAUAACAAUUGGCAGAUAAGUAACUCCCAUCAAAGUAUCGUUUACUAGUAGUACAACUGCGUAUCCCAUUAAUUGCCUUGGAUAAACACUUAGUACAAUCCUCCUUCGAUAUAUCAGGAGUACAUUGCACCGCCACAUGAAGAGGGAAUUCAUCUCGAUCAUAAGUUACACUUCCUGACGCAAAUUUCCGAAGAGCAUCACCUUCGGCCGCUUGCUCCUUUAACUUACUUACCAAACCAUCCACAGUUUUCUCCAACUCAUCAGUCUUGACAUACCCGUUUCCCUCGUGACAGUACCAAGCCCAAUCAUCGAGCACUGAGAAAAUUUUGCGGCCCACAGAGUAACGCACCAUACACUGUACAGACUCGUAGAGGUCCCAUGCUACAACUUCAUUUUGUUUAGGGCACUUUUUUACUGCAUACUCGACCACAUGCCGCAAGCAACACUCGCAAAUUGGCCUUGAUUGGGCAUUGGGGGGACAAAGGUAGAUGGCGCUAACUUGCUCCUCAGGUUUGUCGCCCACUUGGGUAUGGUGAAAACCGUUGUAGCUUGAAUUUGAAUCCUUAAGUUGCGCUAUGAGUUUAUCAAAUGCGGAAUCUCGGUUUUUUUGUACGUUGAUGCUUUUGAAAUAACCUCUGCAUUCGUGCCUGUCUUGCAUCAAAUUUUGAGCUGUGGAGAGAUUAGCACCAUUGAUGAUUGCUUGAAGAAUGAAGAGAAAUGAAAUUUUGGAUUUCAUUUCCAUUUGUGCGCAAAAAGUGACUUUGAGUUUUAUACGGUUUUAAUCAAUGCUUGUACAACAAAACUUGAUAUAUCAGAGUUUGAUGCAACUCUAAGAAAUAUAUUUU
rnacentral:lncRNA from 1 species